rfam:Gossypium arboreum cultivar AKA8401 contig_276_11, whole genome shotgun sequence.
UGUUAAACUUUUUAUCUAUUUGUACUGUUAAAAACUGACGUAGUUGACAAAAUAACUAGAUAGUGCCACGUUGUGUGCCAUGUGUACGUGAUUCUGUCAUACAGUGACCAAUUUUUAGCAAUAAAAAUGGAUAAAAUGUUUAACA